UUUUUUAUUAUUCCAUGCAAUCAACCGUAGCCCAGCGUGCAUACAAUAUUAUUUCUAGUCUGUGUGUGCGUGUGUGUAUCGUUUCGUUUUUAUUCGAAAAAUAAAGGAAUAAAAAAAAUUAUAAACGGGAAAUAUAUUUAAAUGAAAAUUACUUUUCUUCUCGGUUAAAUAUUAAAAUGCAGUUGACUUUUAAUCAUUCUACAUUGUUUUUUUGUUCAUCUUUGGAAUAAAUACCAGCAACGAGGGAAUAGAAGAAAGAUAUAUUGCAGUAUCGCAUUUUAUGAAUGUGUGUGUGUGUGUGUGUGUGUGUGUCUGUGUACUGUUCAAUGGACGAGGAAAAACGAAAAGUCAGCGCCUCGGUCGAUCGAGCCUAGUGUUGGUGUGCUGCCCCGUAUCAUGAACUGGAGAUGAACGAAUGAAAGAGAUGGAACACGGCAUUGGUUUCGUACGUGGGCUUUCCACCUGGGGGUCAUUAUGAGAAAGAGAUCUCUUUAUAAUUUAUAAUUACUUGAAACAUGCCGAUGAGAAGGAGAGAGUGAAUAAAAUUCCAUAGAAACUUAUUAAUGAAUGUGCAGUCGGUGAUCGGCCAGCUAGAAGGGAACGAGCAAAAGAGAAAGAGAGAGUGAUAGCCGCAAACAAACUGAGCGGAAUAGUCGAGUUGCAUACACAUGUGAAAUGUGAACCGGUGGAAAUACAUCCAACCAAAUAGUAAUAGACAUUUUAUAUAGA